AUUGAACGCUGGCGGCAGGCCUAACACAUGCAAGUCGAGCGGAUGAAGGGAGCUUGCUCCUGGAUUCAGCGGCGGACGGGUGAGUAAUGCCUAGGAAUCUGCCUGGUAGUGGGGGAUAACGUCCGGAAACGGGCGCUAAUACCGCAUACGUCCUGAGGGAGAAAGUGGGGGAUCUUCGGACCUCACGCUAUCAGAUGAGCCUAGGUCGGAUUAGCUAGUUGGUGGGGUAAGUGCCUACCAAGGCGACGAUCCGUAACUGGUCUGAGAGGAUGAUCAGUCACCUGGGAUGUGAGACACGGCACAGACUCCUACGGGAAGCAGCAGUGGGGAAUAUUGGACGAUGGGCGAAUGCCUGAUCCAGCCAUGCCGCGUGUGUGAAGAAGGUCUUCGGAUUGUAAAGCACUUUAAGUUGGGAGGUAGGGCAGUAAGUUAAUACCUUGCUGUUUUGACGUUACCAACAGAAUAAGCACCGGCUAACUUCGUG
rnacentral:rRNA from 1 species